rnacentral:rRNA from 1 species
UACGUAGGGUGCAAGCGUUGUCCGGAAUUAUUGGGCGUAAGAGCUCGUAGGCGGUUUGUCGCGUCUGCUGUGAAAACCUAGGGCUUAACCCUGGGCCUGCAGUGGGUACGGGCAGACUAGAGUGCGGUAGGGGAGACUGGAAUUCCUGGUGUAGCGGUGAAAUGCGCAGAUAUCAGGAGGAACACCGGUGGCGAAGGCGGGUCUCUGGGCCGUAACUGACGCUGAGGAGCGAAAGCAUGGGGAGCGAACAGG